UCUCGUCUAUCGAGCUUCCUUCCCUUUCUUUCCCUAUUUCUUAGUUCUCCUUUUCUUUGAAUGUUAACCAUCUACCACACUCCUAUAGCCUUUCUUGCAUUUUGCGCCCUUAAAGUUGUUAUCUUUAUAGAGUUCUGUCUUCUUUUCAGCUUUAUCGUUAAAUUUUGCAAUUGUCUCAUCUACGAGAUGUUUCAUCGUCAGCAACAAAAUCGUGAGUUUGCAUGGGAAGAGGAAAGUGAAUCUGGGCAUGAAAGCUACUCUUCAGGCUUCAAUCCUUCAAAUUCUCCAUGAGGUGGAGAUUUAUGAUUUCGUCUUCCACGACGGGGACCGAUUAUUCGUUUGGGUUCAAGGUUGACUCGAGAACGUCAAUCCUGCCUUCGUUCUUGUGCUUAUGGCUACAUUUUAGAUAAGAAAGUGAUGAAACCAGAGCGCAUUCGCCUAAUUUUUGGUAAUGCAUGGGAGCUUCAAGGUUAGGUAAGUAUUGAAGGAAGUAGCAGAAAUCGUUUCCAGAUUCAUUUUGAUAAUUUUAAAGAGCAAAAACACGUCAUCAAACAUAGUCCAUGGGCGGUGGAAAAUUCAGUUUUGAUUGUAGAAAAGUUUCAAUCAAAUGUGGUUCUGGAAAGAGCCCCUGUUCCCAAAUUUAAGGUAUGGGUUCAAGCUUGGGGAUUACUGCUAGAAUAUUUUUCUGCAAAGGUUGCUCGGAUUUUAGAUAAUGUGGUUGUUGAAUUUGAAGAAUAUGAAGUAAAUGAGCGAGGAUUGCAGAAUAUCCGUUUUUUACGUUUUAGAGCAACUAUUGACCCUGCCAUUCCUCUACUUAUGGGAUGUCUAAUUGAACUUGAUGGUGAUAAUGAGUUGCUGGUGGACAAAGAGGAAAGAUGGAUUCAGUUUAAAUAUGAAAUAUAUUUCGAAUAUGCUGUUCUUGUGGUUGUCCUGGUCAUAUUGAGAGAGAUUGCAAAUGGGAUGAAGCUUUGAUUGAACAUACCCUGAUGAUACAUAAAGCCUGUCUCACUGCACGUUUUGGGACAGAUUUCUGUGAAGAUUAUUUUCAUUUUCCCAUGGUGUCCAGAGAUAAUAUAGCUUUUUAUAAAAAAAAAAUCUUGUUCUCGAGGUACCACUGUUGUUACUUGGGUGGAUAAUGAGCAUGGAGGUUAUUACACAGUGAGCAAGAAGGCCCACCCAAUUCCUAUUGGUAAACUUCAAGUACCACCAGCUUCUACGGCUCAGAGUUCUCAUUCUGCUUCAAAUUCAGAUCAUCCUUCCUGGACAGAGUCUGAUUCUGAUGACGUUGAUGAUGAUGAUGAUGUGUAUUUGGAAUGGAGAACAAAGUUCAGAGAAGAUAAAGAUCAUAUGCAGAUUGAAAGAGAUAAUGCAAACUCUUCGAAAGAGACAGAAGAAAAAGAUCAACAUCAAACUUCUCAGGUGGAAAUUAUGGAUCAAAUACGCGUGGAUGAUGUUAAUCCUACUGUUGAUUUGAAUUUUAAUCCUUUGGGGAUGAUUUCUCGAGAUAAUUUCCAGAAAGAGUCAACAAGAUUAAGAUCUCCUGAAGGCACUCAAGUGAUUUCACCGCUUCAGGCAUUUUCUAAAUAGGUACGGAUUGAGAGAAAUGAUGAUAACACACCGAAUGCUGCUCUGUCUGAACGGGGGAUACGUGGAGAGUUCAUGCAAUCACAGCAAGCUUUAUCAUGUCGCGGGGCAGUGAUCUGAAGAUUUGACUCAGGUCUUGAACAAUCAAAAUAGGACGGAAAAUAGAACUUUUUCAAGGAUAGAGCCGCCUAGGAUCCAAGAAGUGGUUCAGUCUUGGAGAGACGGAGGAAUAGAUAGAAUUGCAAUUGUAGUGGGCCAACUUACAAUUUUGUUGAGGCUAAAAUGAGUGCUCCCAUUAUACAGUCUUUGAAAACCCAUGGAUUGAGACUAAUCCAACAGUGCAAUUACUGCUUGAAUUUUCUUGGGUUGAUUGGGUCUAUCAAGCUUUGGCCCACUUUGGGUAUUCUGAAAUUGGAUCAUCUCCCUCACCUGAUCCAUGGCCCAACAAUUGGGCCUAAGUUAUCCUUAAUUCCCUAAAUGCUGAUGUUCGAAUCUCUUACCUUCUUUGUUCCAGCCGCUUUUGGUUUAUAACUUCACAACAGCUACUUUUGCCAGAAUCGUUCCUUUGUGUCGUUCCUCUUCUGUCAUAGAACUGACUCUUCCUAAUGUGAGUGAUGAUCCACCUGAUUUUUGGAAUUGAGAUUUUAGUCUAACUCGAUAGUUUCCAGGUACAAAUACUCAAAAUCAACCAAACCAAGGAAGCAGUGUUCAAGGGUAUCCACAAAUUACAAGAGUUGGAAGCGCUGCUUCUGCUGCUGCAGUUAAAAUCUGGCUUUCAGCAUCAUCCUCCAGAAAUGAAACAUCAGGUGGUAUGAAGAGACCUUUUAAUUCACUGCAACUGGAGAUUGACAUUUUGGAGGAUUCUACAAAACAUUCUCUGUGGUUUUACCGAGUUUGUGCCAAAAAAAAACUCCGUCUGGAAGAAUGAAGGUAAUGUCGUGGAAUUGUCGUGGAUAUGGUAAGCCCACGGCAGUUCGACGUUUAAAAACUUUGGUUUGUAAAUAUAACCCAGACCUUUUGUUUUUGAUGGAAACUAAACUUUCUUCUACUAAGGUUGCUAAACGGUCAAGUUCUCUGACUUUUGAUAAUGUAAAAUAUGUGGAUUCUAUGGGUUGCAGUGGAGGUUUGUGUUUGGCUUA